rnacentral:lncRNA from 1 species
AUUUUUUUAAUUAAAUGGAAAGAAAUCACACUCCUUCUCAUUCCCCUGAAAUUCUGAUGUGCUCCUUAGAGUAUGAACCCUGGCACUCCUGGUAAAAACCGUUGUCCAAGGGGGAGUGUACAUGAUAAUCUUCAUUACUGGCACAAAAAACAGCAAUUUGUGUGGUCCAGGGAAGCAGCAGGUGUAAUAGGAAAAUCGUUACUGUGGGAGCCAGGAGACCUGAGAUCAGGUCUUGACUCUGCCCCAGCUCACUGUGUGACUUUGGACAAGUGCCGUGCCCCCUCUGGGCUUGAGCGUCUCCUUGCAUUCAGUGAAUACAUGGGACUCAUCAAUUCACUUGACUGAUAGCUCCAGAAGGAUGGGGCCCUGCCUGUCUUAUUCACUGAUAUGUAUCCUGGUGGCUUGCACAGCUCCAGAUGCUCAGUAGCCACUCACUAAAUAUCUAAAAUGAAUUAGUGAAUGGUUUUCAGGUCUCUCCAGAGAAACGAGUGGCACAGUGGGCAUCGUUGGGCCUUGGCCCUUACCAUUUCUGCCAGGGCCCCUACUGUACAUCUUUCCAUUCAGCCUUGUGCCUGUCUUGCUCUCUCCCCAGAAUAUACUCUGAACUCUACAAGGCCCUGUUUCCCGUGCUCUCUCCACAGGGUCAACAAGCCCUUUCUGGGCCAUGGGGAUGCAGUGAUGCAGCACCGGAGGCCAGCACCUGCACUUGGCUCUGGGACCACACCCACUGGAGGAGUUUACAAAAGGUUUCAUAGGAACACUACUUUCAGAUAGCCGGCGGUCGGAAACCUGUACAAGAAAUUGACAUUUUCAGGAAGUUUGGAAGAUGGCAGAGUAGGAAGAGCUGAAGUCACCUCCUCCCACGGGCACAACAAUCUGUAACUACCUGCAGAACAAUUUCCUCUGAAAAAGAUCUGGAAACUGGAUAAAAAGCACCCCCACAGCAAGGGACAACACUGAUGGGGUGGAAGAGGCAGAAAUACAGCCCUGCUGAGGGCAAAAACCACACCCAAGGUGCAAUGCUUCACCGGCAGCGAGCCAUCUCAAAGGUAGGGAGCUUUUCCCAGGGGAGCAUGGGAUCUGAGCAGGGGAGCUAUGCCACAGUAGGCAUCUGAGCUCUUAGAUGCAGCACAGCCAAGAUCCCAUGAUACCUGGCUUUGCUGGCUUUAAAAACCAACAUGGAAUAUGCCCAGAAAAACUAUAGAACUUCAGAGAAAGGAAAACCUCUUAAAUGGCCCCCACGCAGAUUCACCCGAUCCAAAAACCAACAUAAAAACCCUGGAUAGAAAAGUGCAUAGUCCAUUGGUAAAAGAGACUCGCUUGCCAAGCGUGGAGCAGAUCUCAGAGAGGCAGCAGGCAGGGACUGAGAAAUUGGGGCAGCCGUUAUUGUGACCUAGUACACAGAUGCUGACACAGAUGCUGGCAGCCACCAUUGGAUUCCUUCUGAUAGCCUGUUAGUGCAUGGGUUUGCCCCUCCUAGUAGAGCACCUAAGGCAAUUGAGUGCAGCCAGGUCAAGCAACCUGCCCCAGGGACUGGCCUCACCAACCGGGAGGCCCGCAGCAAACUUGUGGGGCUGUGUAGGUGGGGUGUGUGGGACCUUGGUGGUAGGGCAGGAGGAUCCAAGUUGGGGCAUGCUUGUGGGUCCACAGUGGAGGGACAUGUGGGCCUGUGGGCAGCGGGCCAUGUGGGUCCACAGGAGACUUGUGCCACUGGCCAUUGCAAACAGCCACACAGGGGAUCUGCUCCAUCUUCCAAUGCCUGAAACAAUUGUACGCUGCUGUGCCUGGGGUCAGCUCCACCCAUCUGCACUCCUGAAGCAGCUGUGUACCACAAGACAGCAUAGCCAGAUCUGACCAGAGGCCUGCCCUGCCCGAAAGAGAGCCGAUAACAGCCACACACCACAGGAAGCCACACUGGGGGCCUGCAGCAAUUGUGAGCCCCUGAACCUAGCAAACAGUCACAUUGGGAGCCUGAUACGCUUAACAGAAUAACAGCAGUAGUUAUGUGCGAUUAGACCUUGCAGCCAGCCAUGCCAGGGCUUGCCCCACCCAAUAAAUUAACCAUAGCAGCUGCAAUCAGCUGAGCCUUACAACCAACCAGCCUGGGGCCCAACCUAGCCUACCAUGUGCUCACAGCAAUGGCAACCCCGCUACAACAGAAAAGCACACUCAGCUCACACAGGGCUCACUCCUGCAGCAUUUGGCAGGAAUGACAAGAGAGGAACACAUUGCUGGGCCCCGUAAGACAUCUCUUACAUGAGGCUACAUUUCUAAGAUUGGGAGACAUAGCUGAUCUGCCUAAUACAUAGAUAUUAGCACAGAGAAGUAGGCAAGAUGAAGAGACAAAGCAAUAUGUUCCAAAUAAGGGAACAGAAAAAGAACUAAACAAAACAGAGAUAAACAAUCUACUUGAUAAAGAAUAUAAACUAAUACUCAUAAGGAUGCUCACUGACCUUGGGAGGAGAAUAGAUGAACAAAGUGAGAACUUCAACAAAGAAUUGGAAAAUAUAAAAAGAACCAGACAGAACAGAAGAAUACAAUAAUGGAAAUGAAAAAUUCACUAGAAGGAAUCAACAACGGAGUAGAUAAUACAAAAGAACAGAUCAGCAAGGAGGAUGAAAGGUUAGAGAAAAUCACCCAAGCUGAACAGAAAAAAGAAUUAAAAAGAUUUAACACAAUCUAAGAGACCUCUGGGACAACAUCAAGUGUACUAAUAUCCAUAUUAUAGAUGUCCCAGAAGAAGAAGAGGGAGACAAAGGGACAGAGAAUCUAUUUGAAGAAAUAAUAGCUGAAAACUUCCCUAACCUAGGGAAGAAAACAGACAUCCAAGUACAGGAAGCACAGAGAGCACCAAACAAGAUGAACCCAAAGAGGUCAACACCAAGAUUUGUUAUAAUUAAAAUGUCAAGAAUUAACGAUAAAGAGAGAAUCCUAAAAGCUGCAGGAGAAAAGCAAUAAAUUACAUACAAAGGAAACCCCAUAAGGCUAUUAGCUGACUUCUCAGCAGAAACCUUACAGGCUAGAAGGGAGUGGCAUGAUAUAUUUAAAGUGCUGAAAAGAAAAAAACCUACAGCCAAGAAUACUGUACCUGACAAGGUUAUCAUUCAGAAUGGAAGGAGAGAUAAAGAGUUUUUCAGAUAAGCAAAAACUAAAGGAGUUCAUCACCACUAAGCCAGCCUUAUAAGAAUUGUUAAAGGGACUUAUUUAAGUGGAAAAGAAAAGGACACCCAUAGGAAUAAGAAAAUUAUCAAAGAAAAAAAAUCACUGAUAAAGGCAAAUAUAAAAGUAGUAGAUCAACCACCUAUCAAAUAUGAAGGUCAAAAGACAAAAGUGCUGAAAUUAUCUAUUUCCAUCAUGAGAGGUUAAAAGAUACACAAAAAUAAAAAAGAUAAAAUAUGAUAUCAAAAACAAAACGUGGGGAUGGGGUAGUAAAUGUGUAGGGCUUUUAGUAAGAGGUCAGACUUAAAGAGAUAAUCAACUUAAUUAGAUUGCUAUUUAUGUAGGCUAUUAUAGAUGAACCUCAAGGUCAUCACAAACUGAGAGCAUGUAAUAAAUACAUAAAAUAAUAAAUAAAGGGAAAGAAACCCAAAUGUAACACUAAAGAAAGCCAUCAAGUCCCAAGGGAACAAAGCAAGUGAAGAAAGGAACAAAG